rnacentral:rRNA from 1 species
UACGGAGGGGGCUAGCGUUGUUCGGAAUUACUGGGCGUAAAGCGCACGUAGGCGGCUUUGUAAGUCAGGGGUGAAAGCCUGGAGCUCAACUCCAGAACUGCCUUUGAGACUGCAUCGCUUGAAUCCGGGAGAGGUAAGUGGAAUUCCGAGUGUAGAGGUGAAAUUCGUAGAUAUUCGGAAGAACACCAGUGGCGAAGGCGGCUUACUGGACCGGAAUUGACGCUGAGGUGCGAAAGCGUGGGGAGCAAACAGG